UGAAGGCUGAGCUGUGAUGGGGAAGCUCCUUAUGGAGCGAAGUCUUUGAUUCCCCGCUGCCAAGAAAAGCUUCUAGCGAGAUAAAAGGUGCCUGUACCGCAAACCGACACAGGUAGGCGAGGAGAGAAUCCUAAGGUGUGCGAGAGAACUCUGGUUAAGGAACUCGGCAAAAUGACCCCGUAACUUCGGGAGAAGGGGUGCUUUCUUAACGGAAAGCCGCAGUGAAUAGGCCCAAGCGACUGUUUAGCAAAAACACAGGUCUCUGCGAAGCCGUAAGGCGAAGUAUAGGGGCUGACACCUGCCCGGUGCUGGAAGGUUAAGGAGAGGGGUUAGCGUAAGCGAAGCUCUGAACUGAAGCCCCAGUAAACGGCGGCCGUAACUAUAACGGUCCUAAGGUAGCGAAAUUCCUUGUCGGGUAAGUUCCGACCCGCACGAAAGGUGUAACGAUUUGGGCACUGUCUCAACCAGAGACUCGGUGAAAUUAUAGUACCUGUGAAGAUGCAGGUUACCCGCGACAGGACGGAAAGACCCCGUGGAGCUUUACUGUAGCCUGAUAUUGAAUUUUGGUACAGUUUGUACAGGAUAGGCGGGAGCCAUUGAAACCGGAGCGCUAGCUUCGGUGGAGGCGCUGGUGGGAUACCGCCCUGACUGUAUUGAAAUUCUAACCUACGGGUCUUAUCGACCCGGGAGACAGUGUCAGGUGGGCAGUUUGACUGGGGCGGUCGCCUCCUAAAGUGUAACGGAGGCGCCCAAAGGUUCCCUCAGAAUGGUUGGAAAUCAUUCGUAGAGUGCAAAGGCAUAAGGGAGCUUGACUGCGAGACCUACAAGUCGAGCAGGGACGAAAGUCGGGCUUAGUGAUCCGGUGGUUCCGCAUGGAAGGGCCAUCGCUCAACGGAUAAAAGCUACCCCGGGGAUAACAGGCUUAUCUCCCCCAAGAGUCCACAUCGACGGGGAGGUUUGGCACCUCGAUGUCGGCUCAUCGCAUCCUGGGGCUGUAGUCGGUCCCAAGGGUUGGGCUGUUCGCCCAUUAAAGCGGUACGCGAGCUGGGUUCAGAACGUCGUGAGACAGUUCGGUCCCUAUCCGUCGUGGGCGUAGGAAAUUUGAGAGGAGCUGUCCUUAGUACGAGAGGACCGGGAUGGACGCACCGCUGGUGUACCAGUUGUUCUGCCAAGGGCAUAGCUGGGUAGCUAUGUGCGGAAGGGAUAAGUGCUGAAAGCAUCUAAGCAUGAAGCCCCCCUCAAGAUGAGAUUUCCCAUAGCGUAAGCUAGUAAGAUCCCUGAAAGAUGAUCAGGUUGAUAGGUUCGAGGUGGAAGCAUGGUGACAUGUGGAGCUGACGAAUACUAAUAGAUCGAGGACUUAACC
rnacentral:rRNA from 1 species